GAUGAACGCUGGCGGCGUGCCUAACACAUGCAAGUCGAGCGGCAGCGAGGGGUGCUUGCACCCUGUCGGCGAGCGGCGGACGGCUGAGUAACGCGUGGGAACGUGCCCCAAAGUGAGGAAUAACUGCCCGAAAGGGUAGCUAAUACCGCAUAUUAUCUUCGGAUCAAAGGAUUUAUCCGCUUUGGGAGCGGCUCGCGUCGGAUUAGGUAGUUGGUGAGGUAAUGGCUCACCAAGCCGACGAUCCGUAGCUGGUCUGAGAGGAUGACCAGCCAGACUGGAACUGAGACACGGUCCAGACUCCUACGGGAGGCAGCAGUGAGGAAUCUUCCACAAUGGGCGAAAGCCUGAUGGAGCAACGCCGCGUGCAGGACGAAGGCCUUCGGGUUGUAAACUGCUUUUAUAAGUGAGGAAUAUGACGGUAACUUAUGAAUAAGGAUCGGCUAACUACGUGCCAGCAGCCGCGGUCAUACGUAGGAUCCGAGCGUUAUCCGGAGUGACUGGGCGUAAAGAGUUGCGUAGGCGGUUGUAUAAGUGAAUAGUGAAAUCUGGUGGCUCAACCAUACAGGCUAUUGUUCAAACUGUACAACUUGAGAGUGGUAGAGGUCACUGGAAUUUCUUGUGUAGGAGUGAAAUCCGUAGAUAUAAGAAGGAACACCAAUGGCGUAGGCAGGUGACUGGACCAUUUCUGACGCUAAGGCACGAAAGCGUGGGGAGCGAACCGGAUUAGAUACCCGGGUAGUCCACGCCGUAAAUGAUGGAUACUGGCUGUUGGAGGUAUCGACCCCUUCAGUAGCGAAGCUAACGCGUUAAGUAUCCCGCCUGUGGAGUACGGCCGCAAGGCUAAAACAUAAAGGAAUUGACGGGGACCCGCACAAGCGGUGGAUCGUGUUCUUUAAUUCGAUGCUAAACGAAGAACCUUACCAGGGCUUGACAUCCAGGGAAGG
rnacentral:rRNA from 1 species